rnacentral:rRNA from 1 species
CAACUCGACUACAUGAAGCUGGAAUCGCUAGUAAUCGCGGAUCAGAAUGCCGCGGUGAAUACGUUCCCGGGUCUUGUACACACCGCCCGUCACACCAUGGGAGUCGGGAAUGCCCGAAGCCAGUGACCCAAGCGAGAGCAGGGAGCUGUCGAAGGCAGGCCGGAUAACUGGGGUGAAGUCGUAACAAGGUAAC